rnacentral:misc_RNA from 1 species
AGCGCUGAGCGUACCCACGCACGGUUCUCAGUAGCGUACGAACUCACGUCUUGUGAUGCUAUCGAGCUGUGCGUCCGCACUACAAUUUGAGUGCAAUACUGCUUGCGCGGUUCCAACUGUGUGUCACCUUUGCCUUUUAGAAGGUGCUCCCAAGAGUAAUCGAGCCCGACUGGCUCCACCAGAACGCACCCUUUUCUCAUUCACAAACAGAACGCAAAUCGGAAAGUGGUGAGAGGGAUCCUUUUUUCCGGUCAGCACGCACACGAUGGUAAAGAUUUCGGGCACCAUGAAGCAGGCAGUGGGGAACAGCCGCCCCUUCGUCAGUUUCGAGUUUGUCGCCUCUACAACGGAGGAUGGCGCUAUAAAGCUGCACGAGACGGCUGAGCGUCUGCCCGCGCUUGAUCCGCUCUUCUGCGGUAUAACGUGGGGAAACCACCUCCGAACCGCGGAGACCUCCAUCGAGGUCGCUUCCACGUGCUAGCCACUGCUGUCUGUCAACUAUCAAGUGAAUUUCACAUGGUAAGCGAGCGGGCCCGAUGAAGUGCUCAAAUGGCUGAGUUUCAAAGCGAAGGGUGUGCGCAAUCUCCUCGUGACAAGAGGCGCUCCCACGGCAGGCUUCACCACCGAGCCGCGCAAUCGAGGCACUGACGUCGGAUCCAGAGCCACAGCUGCAGGUGCGCAUGACAGCUCAAGGGAAGAGGCCGACGCAACCACCUCCACGUUCUUGGCGUUCAUUGCUGCGGCGCCCUCGUCGUCCUCCUCUGGCUCUGUCUUUCCGCACGCUGUGGACCUUAUUCGAUUUGUGCACCAGCACUUUGGCGACUACUUUGGCAUGGUGGUUGCCGCGUUCCCAGAAGGGGGUCUCUCUGGCAAUGAAAGCUCUGACGAUGCUGCUGCAUGGAUCAGUGCGCGACGGGACACAGAGCUGCUGUUUCUCAAGAAGAAGCUGAGCGCCGGCGCCGACUACGUUGUGACGCAGGGCAUCUUCGAUGUGGAUGUGCUCGACCAGCGUUGCAGUCGUUGGCGGCGACACGGCAUUCGCUGCUCAAUCUUCCUCCAAUGUGCUGCCCGUCUCGCAGGUACGCCAGCUCAAGCUGUUUGGCGUGCACCGGAUAUCCGGAGCAGUGGAUUUGCGGCGCCGCAUCGAGUCUUCAAAAACCAACGACAGCGAGGUAAAGUACGUUGUGGUGGCGUUCCAGCAGCCGCUUCACAAGCGGCUGCUGGCGCGUGGAUGCGGCGGAGUGUACUUUUUUCACCGUGAAUACGGAUCACCUUCGUCUCACCAUUCUGAAGGGCAUCGAUGCUGCCACCCACCGCGUGCUUCCUUGGCGCUCUUCCCAGAACGAGGGGGGACGCCGGCGAGAGGCUGUGCGGCAAGUGCAUUGGCCAUCUCGAAUGGCAAGCUACAUGAUGUACGCGGCCCAUCGGCGCGGCACCAUGGAGAAGAGGUGGAAUGCGCUGUUGGUGUCACCCCAUAGCGGCACCCUGGCGCUUGGCGAGGCAGGCGUGUAUCAUGCAAGGCUGCUGCUGGGCAGCCGACCCAAGCCAUGCACACAGUUCCCCAUGAUCCAAGGGAUGGCAGAACUCCAAACUGCCCUCACGGAAUUAAGUCGAAUUUUUCAGGCGUUUCUGGACGGCCGCGGCACGCGUCCGUAUGCGGAUGAGCUCCCCGGCGAAACUGUAUACGUCGAGCACCUUCUCAAGCUGCCCAACGCACAGGGGCUGUACACCAUCAACUCCCAGCCGCCCGUGAACGGGGUUCCAAGUUCGCACAGGGUUGUCGAGUAAGGCCCAGACAGUAGCUAUGUGUACCAGAAGAGCUACGUCGAGUUCCUCUGUCAUUUGCCCUCAGCGCCGAUUGUGUUCACGACGCUCGACAAGUGCCCCGAACUCCAGUACACGGCUAUGAGUGCGCAGGGCAACGUGGCGCGUGCAGGGUGGGGGAGAGCUGCUAAAGCACACGCCGCAGCAGCUGCCGCAAGGAGUGCCUGCUGCCUCAUCUCUGACGCCACUGAACCAACAGCAAAGCGCUACCUAACUCUUUAGCACAGGCGUCACGGCCAUCACGUGGGGUGUCUUUUCCCGGGCACGAGGGGAUUCCAACCCACUAUCGCCUCCUUGGACUCGUUUUGCGCGUGUAGGAGUGGCUUUUGCCAUGUGGGCCGCGCCUUUUCCACCCAAUGACGUCCCUACCGUGGCGCACUACAUUCAAACGGAGUUUGUGCUAGUGCGUGUGGUGGAUAACGUAUUGCAAGAGCCGCUGACGCCACUGGAGCAUGCCGUUGUUGAGAUUUGCCCUGAGAUACCGCUGUUGACGCUUUUAGAUGCAACACAGCCGCACCCGAAAUCGUCGCUUACCUUUGCGCCGGACGGCGACGCCUUGAUGAACGCUCUCGGCCAGUUUGUGAGAGCGUCCUGAGUUACGCAGAAUAACCGGGAUGGCAGUUGGGUAAGAAGUAGGUGCUCGCAGCCAUGCUUGGCGGAUCGCGGGCGGGUGGGGGGGGGCAGUUCCUCAUUCUUCUUCCGUGCUUAGGGCUGGUAGAGCGAAAAUCAGGCGAGGCCCUCGCUCGGACCUGUGCAACAGCCGAGCUCUCCUUCUACACAGACCUGAGAGGUUGCAAAGGCGGCGCACAGAACGUUUUCGUCACCGCUCCUUCAUCUGUGAGUUACUCCUUUCUGCACUCAUACAGCUGAGGGGGAGGGGGAGAAGGAGCGGGGAUGGAUGUAAUGUGUGUUUGUGUGUGUGAACAGGAGAGGGUAUGCUUCCUGUGAUUAUCCCCUCUUUGCUUCACACCCUUCACUCGCCUACACACAG